UACAGAGACUGCGAGCGUUAUUCGGAUUCACUGGGCGUAAAGGGUGCGCAGGCGGCCGUGUGUGUGAGGCGUGAAAGCCCGGGGCUUAACCCCGGAAUUGCACCUCAAACUACACGGCUAGAGCAUUGGAGAGGGUAGCAGAAUUCACGGUGUAGCAGUGAAAUGCGUAGAUAUCGUGAGGAACACCAGAGGCGAAGGCGGCUACCUGGACAAUUGCUGACGCUCAGGCACGAAAGCGUGGGGAGCAAAAGGG
rnacentral:rRNA from 1 species